rnacentral:rRNA from 1 species
GCCUAACACAUGCAAGUCGAACGCGAAAGGGGGCAACUCCCGGUAGCGUGGCAGACGGGUGAGUAACACGUGGGCAACCUGCCCGGAGGUGGGGAAUAACCUUCCGAAAGGAGGGCUAAUACCGCAUAACAUCGCGGGGUUCUUGGACCCCGCGCUCAAAGCUAGCCUAUGCUUGCAAGCUAGCGCCACCGGAGGGGCCCGCGUCCCAUUAGCUAGUUGGUGAGGUAACGGCUCACCAAGGCGACGAUGGGUAGCCGGCCUGAGAGGGCGACCGGCCACACUGGAACUGAGACACGGUCCAGACUCCUACGGGAGGCAGCAGUGAGGAAUCUUGCGCAAUGGGCGAAAGCCUGACGCAGCGACGCCGCGUGGAGGAUGAAGGUCUUCGGAUCGUAAACUCCUGUCUAGUGGGACGAAAGCGAGGGAGGUGAAUAGCCUUCCCCGUUGACGGUACCGCUGGAGGAAGCCCCGGCUAACUCCGUGCCAGCAGCCGCGGUAAUACGGAGGGGGCCAGCGUUGUUCGGAAUCAUUGGGCGUAAAGGGCGCGUAGGCGGCCGCGCAAGUCGGACGUGAAAUCCCUCGGCUCAACCGGGGAACUGCGUCCGAUACUGCGUGGCUCGAGUCCUGGAGAGGGUGGCGGAAUUCCCAGUGUAGCGGUGAAAUGCGUAGAUACUGGGAGGAACACCGGUGGCGAAGGCGGCCACCUGGACAGGUACUGACGCUAAAGC